rnacentral:lncRNA from 1 species
GCCGCUUUCUCAGUGGAGUCAGCGCGACUUCUACGUCCGCCUGCCAAAUCUGCCUUGUGCUUACGGGACGUAGGCCGCCACACGUCCGAUGUCACUCUAAACGUUGCACCGUCGGCGUCCUGGAGGGUCAAACGACUCGCGGGACCAGAAGCGCCGACUGGCCGAGGCCCUUGGCUAAGUCCUGGGCUAGUGAACAACGGAAGGGGUUGGGCCGCUUGGCCUGCGCGGGGAGCCCGUGGGCGUGGUAGUUCUGGGCGCUUCAACCGGGUUUGCCGACUCACUCGGCUGUGAGGCCAGUCGGAGGUGUCUCGGGGAAGUUGCCUGCAUAGAGCAGCGUGGCCUAGCAGCGCGGUUGUGAUUUUGUUUAGCUGUUUCUCUUUCGGGUCCGACUUGACUCUGGUCACGCCUUCAAGGAUGCUUAGUUCCUCCAGUAACUUUGACCUCCCCUAUUAUAAGACUCCCUGUCGCUCAAGGACCCCCCUUCAUUAACCCAGACUGGCUCUUGCUCGUCUUAAGUACCCUACCUCCCUCUUCCUCACACGCAUUCCGCAGUAUUUUCAUGCUUCUUUCCUUUUUUUUUUUUUUUUUCCCUGGCAGAGACCCUUUAAUACUAUGUCCUGACCCAGGAGUCACGCCAAGCAUACCUGUAGAUGCAGGCAGAUCUGACCCAUACCCCUUCAGCAGCCGUGCACCUCAUUUCUUUUUUUCUUCUCUUUUGAGAAUUGUUUCUUUUCGGAUUCCACUUCUGUGUAGCCUGUUUUAAGUCUGUUGGGUGAUUUUUGGUCCUGGAAACUACCAUUUUGUCUUUUGCUUCCACAGAUUAAUAAUACAACAAAGUGACCAACCCUGGGUUAACGUUUGAGUCAGAGAGCAGGGAACCGAAAGAAACUGGAGAGAAAAACUGAGGAAACUGCUGGAUUAGGUUUGCUAAAAGCGAGAUAAAUGGUGAAAGAGAGGGAAGAGAGCAAACAUUUUCUUCUUGUGCUUCAAAAAAACUGUUAAGUGCUGACUGCAGGGCUGUGUGGGUUCUGUGCUGGGAAUGCCUUAGCCAGCAUCUACCUAGAGGCUGGGAGUCCUGUCCAGUAGGACUCAGACAUCCAGGUAAGUAACCAUGCAGGAUGGCCGUCAGCCUUUUUUUCUACCCUACUAUGUGUUCUGCUCAUCCCCAUCUCUCCUUCAGCUCAUUGCAAAGUAUUUUGCCUCUUCACAUCAUUUGUUCCAUGUUCUUCAUUCCAACCUUAAGUCUCCUUCUCCCCUUGUUCUGACCCAGACUGUUUGGUAUCUUGCUGUUUAGUCACUUUGACAUCAAGACAGUGUAGCUGUGUUCAUAGAGAAUUUGGUAAAAGAUGGUGCUUCAUGAUGGGCCUUUAUCCUUAUGUGAUACAUUACUAUUGACCUUCUCGUGCCAGGGCUCUGUAUUCCUCAGCAUUCACACAUUAGUUAUAUUGGAAUCACGUGGAAAUCAUUUAUGCUCAGUGGUCCAGAAUCAGAAUGCCAGGAAGCCCAAAUGCACUUAAUCCUUCUACUGCUUAUUUAGUGGUGGAGGAAUCUUAGGUUUGGGAAAUCACUCCAUGGAGACAAUAAUCAGUAGUCAUCCGCUAGUGUGUAAUGAGAAUUAAAAACCCACAUGAGUUGACAAGAUCAUUUUAAAAAAGCAUAUGUUAGUGGAAUAACCAACUGACUAGUCCAGAAUAGGAUUAUUACAACCUAGGAAGUUAUUUUUGAAUUGUUUAUUCAGAAAUGUCCUGUCCUAGGAGUCACGCCAGUGACUCUCCCAGUCUGAAUUGUUUUUUUUUUUUUGGAGGGAAUACAGUGGGAGAUAGAUCUUCCAAAGAAUAAAUAACAAUCAUUCUAUUUUUAUUUAACAAUGCUUUGCCAUACCUGCUUUCUUGUACCUGUGGGCAGUAGAUUUACCUCUAAGGUUGUUUAUGACUGAUACCAAAUACCUUUGCAUUCUUUAAGAGUGUGGGAUUAGCCCCAUAGAAGUGAAAUUUCAUGUGGGAUUAUGCUUAAAAUAUUCUUCUUCAAGCUGCUGCGUUAAUUGACACCAGCUACCUCUCUCAUUCCACCUCUUACCUUCUCCAUUGUGAUCACUGCCCUAGCUCCCUUAGCUUUACUGCUGUUUUGUGAACAUGCCAAACGUACUCCCUUUUCCCGAAAUACUCUUUUUCCAGGUAACACUUGUUCAGGUCUUCACUGUUCAUCUUAUUAGAGAGGGCUUCUCUGACCACUUCAUAUUGAAAUAGAGCCUUUAUCAUUUUAUCUCUGUUUUUUCUUAAUGCCCUCCAGUACAUUAUCACCACUUGAAAAAAUAUCUUAUUUAUCUAUUUGUUUACUUGCUUCUUAUCCCAUUUCUCUCCUACCUUUUUGAAGUCAAUUUUUUUUUUUUUUUAGUACUGGGCUUGAACCCUGGGCCUCAUGCACUGAGCUGUAUCCACACUUUCUUAUUUUUUUUAUUUAUUUAUUUUUGGGUACCAGGGAUUGAACUCAGGAACACUCAACCACUGAGCCACAUCCCCAGUCCUUUUUUGUAUUUUAUUUAGAGACAGGGUCUCACUGAAUUGCUUAGCACCUCGGUGUUGCUGAGACUGGUUUUGAACCCAUGAUCCUCCUGCUUCAGCCUCAGGAGUCGCUGGGCCCACCUUUUUAUAGUCUAUUUUGAGAUAGCAUAUCACAGAGUUGCCUAGGUUGUCCUGGAACUUGGAAUCCUCCUGCCUCAGCCUCCCAAGACACUGGGGUUACAGGUAAGCACCACUGAGCCCUGCUUGACCACAUCUCCUUGUUAAAACCCUCAGUUGUUAAUGCCUUAGUUAUCCAGAUACCCUGUCUCUAACUCCAUCUGUCUACUAUUCACCUCAGUAUUCUUAUUUUCCACAAUAUCCUCCCUUACUUAUCCAAAAGUUUGAGAUUUGAAAUUCCCUGACUAUAUUUUAUUUUCCUCUGUGUUCUCUUUGCCCAGAAUUCCCCUUUUCUUAACCUCUUUUCUUCAGUUGCUGGUCUUCACAGCUCACCUAGAGGAGUGUAUCUUCUAAGAAAGUUUAACAGCUUUUCUUUCCCACCCUGGACAGACCAGUUCUCUCAUUAUAAGAAAUAAAAGAAUACUGUAAUAUCUCUGUCUGCAUAUCUGAUGGCAGAAUUGUCUUUAAGGGAGUUAAGAUUACAGGCUUUGGAGUUAGGUCCAGGUUUGAAUUCCAGCUCUGCCUCUUGUUGGCUGUAUGCUUUGGGCCAGUCACAUAACUUGUUGAGCUGCAGUUUCUUCUUUAGUAAAAUCAUCUAAUUUUGCUCAUCUUGGUGUCCCCAGCUUUUGGUACCAUGCUUAGUCUGGUUAUCUGUUUGUAAAUAGAUAUUCCCAUGUCCACUCCCCUUGUCAUAACAGCAGUAGGCCUGGCAUGAGUGAUGGGUGAAUGUGUCGUGUAUUUGAGGUGGGGUGGGGGAGAGAAAGAAAGGCUGUGUAGGCCAUUUCCCUAGCUCAUUUUUAUUCUGAUUGAUAGUUAAAAGUGGAUAGGUGUGUCUAAUUAGGGUCAGUGGGAAUCAAAAGCCAUACUAAAUAAAAUAGGACUGGAAAAAUAUCAAAAUUUUAAAGUACUUACACUUGCUUUUAUAUAAUUUCAGCCCCAAACCCACAAAUACAACCAAAUUGGAGUAUGGUUUAUUAUACUGACAUGUCUAGGUGGUUUUCUUUUGAUUUGUAGUGUGUAAACUUUAACUGAGUCAUUUUUUAAAAAAAUGUAUUGGGGGGUUGAACUAAGGCCAUGCAUAUGUUGGGCAAACGCUGUACCACUGAGCUGCAUUCCAGCCCUUUAAGUUUUUUAUUUUGAGACAGGGUUCACUGAGUUGCUUCAGGUCUUGCUAAAUUGCUGAGGCUGGCCCCGAAUUUGAGAUCCUCCUGCCUUAGCCUCCAGAGUAGCUGGGAUUACAGGCAUGUGCCACUAUGACUAGCUGGGUCAUUUACUUUUGUUUUAUACAAAAUUCUGAGACAGAGAAUUUAGGUGACUGUAAUAUUCAGUUGAGGUUUUGGAAGAUCUACUUUAGAGAAUGAGUUAAUACUAUCUCAUGUUAAAGUCUUAUUUUAAUGUAGCUUUCAAAAAAGCUCUUGGUUAUAUUUUUAAAAACUUUUAGAAUUGGCUUAUUAUCUUCUUUAGAACAUGAAAUAUACAAUAGAGCAGGCAGGGGAUUAGCAAGGAUGGUGGAAUGUGAUAGACAUCAUUAUCCAAAGUACAUGUAUGAAGACAUGAAUUAGUGCCAACAUACUUCAUAUACAACCAGAGAUAUGAAAAAUUGUGCUGUAUAUGUGUAAUAAGAAUUGUAAUGUAUUCUGGUGUCAUUUAUUUUUUAAAAAAAUCAAUAAAAAUAUACAAUAAAGCAAGUAUGAUACUUCCUUAAAAAAGUGGAUAAUUAGCAGGAUACCAUGGCUUAUGCCUAUAAUCUUAGUGACUUGGGAGGCUGAGACAGGAGGAUUGUCAAGUUCAAGGCCAGCCUCAGCCACUUAGCAAGACUCUCAGCAACUUUGUGAGACCCUGUCUCAAAAAAUUUAAGGAAAGGGUUAGGAUUGAAGCCCAGUGGUAAAGCACCGGUGGGUUCGAUCCCCAGCAUACAUAUACACACACACACACACACACACAGUGGAUAGUCAUACAGUCAUUAAAAAUUAGUAGUUGAAAGUAUGUAGUGAUAAUGGAUAAUUGAAAGUUGGCCACAAAGGAGAAUGAAGGGAAGGGAGGGAGGAUGGGAAUAGGACAGACAGUAGAAUGAAUCAGGCAUAAUUUCCUGUGUUUAUAUAUGAAUACACCACCAGUGAAACUCCACAUCAUAUACAACCACAAGAAUGGGAUCCUAAUUAGAAUAAGUUAUACUCCAUUUGUAUGUGAAAAUACAAUCUACUGUCAUGUAUAUCUAAAUAAAGAACAAAUAAAAAAAUAAGAAACUUAACCAUAC